CUUUAGAAUCUCAUCUUCUCUACAAAGUCCCCAGACUGAGGUUGCAGCUUUCAGAGGAAGAAGAAAGAAGCAAGAAGCUUGGGUAGAGGAAGCAAAGACUUCACAAAGAAGAGAAUACAAACAGAUCUUUGAAGAAAGAAUGGCCUGGAGCUGUCAACCUCCCCCGACGCCUAGCUGUGGGGAGACAGGGGGUGGGGUGUCCAUAGCCCACCCUGCCGAAGCCAGUGAGUGGCCUGGAGCCAAUAGCCUCACGCUCAGCCUCGCUGUAAGGGUUGAGUCUGGCAGACCCCAGGCAAGUUCAUUUCCUUCAAUAAAUCCAGCAGCUUCCCCUUUGAUAAAUACUGUCAGAGCUGGAACAUGUGGUGCUAACAAAAUAUGGUUUUAAUUUGGGACCCGCUGCACUCACGGUUAAAUACUUGUGUAUACAAUAGCAGCUUCACAGCCAGACAAGUUAAUAUGCCCGGGCUGAAAAUGGCUAAGCCCAUGAGGAUUCGGUUAUACACAUUUUUGCUGCUCUGAAAAGCAACCUAAUCACCAUCAUCAAUUUUAAUACUCCAGGACUUCUCGAGAACGUGGAGGCUUUUAAAGGGCAGCCAGUUUUGCCUCUGCAUCCAGUGCAGAAGCCACACAUUUGUUUCGCCGAUAUUUUAUAUCCACUUAUUGUCAUAUGUUGUUUGACCUUCAGAAAACGGCAUGCUGUUUUAAUCAACAACUCAACGCGGCAUUCAAACUCGAUGGUGCAUAGCCUCGUGGCAAACCCAGGAGGUGUUGGGGAGAGAAGACGGGGUUGGGGGAGGAAACCAGACCAGAGUUUAACAACAGCCAGGCUUGUUGUGGCGGGUCUCCGUCCUGGGAACAGAAACUCUCAGUAUUUUUGCCAGGCUUGAGUGUGUCUGCCUUGGAAUAGUCCAGGGAGAGGAGAAAACUGGUUAGACCAGUUUCCGCUGUGGCCCUGGCAGUGGACAAUGCUGGUAACUGGACCUCCAGGAGAGCGUGGAUAAUGAGCAAGCCCACGGCUUCCAGACAGUGGGUCACAGGAACGGUGUGAGGCCAUUUCCCGGCACACCAACGAUCCCAGCACUCAGCUCGUAACCGUCCUGGGAGACAGAACUAAGAAAGGGUCUUGCUCUGGGGCUGUUCUGGCUGCCCCAGAACUCAUCAUGUAACCCAACCCAGCCUUGUAACUCAAACACGGCAAUUCUCCUGUUCCAGUCUCCUAAUUUCUGGGAUUACAGGUAUGCACACCACAUCCAGCAAUGGACAUUCCUCUUUAUGAUGAAGGCAAGUUUUUUCUGGUCUACUAAUCUGUUUUAGUUGAAAGUGUUUAGGCACAACCAAUAGGACUGAGUGGAUAGGGAGUCUCCCAGGACACCUUACAGAAGUCUCUGUGUCCUGUUUUCUCUCAUUUGUUGGCUGGGGAGAGAGAGGUAGUAUUCUUGCCCACCUCAAAUGUGUUGGUUAGGAACCAUGGAGACUUUGGCCACAUGAACAUUCAUUCAGCCUGUUGCUACCUUUGCCAUUGGCUUCUCUUUUUUCUUUGGAUCGCUUCCUCGCUAAUGGAAGGAUCAGGAGGGUGCAUAGUUCAUCUGAGAAAGAAUGAAUGCAGACUUCUAAUGGUAUAGAGAUUGUAUGCCACUAGUGGGGGAAGGGUUCCCACAUAUCCAUCCCAGCAAUGAAAUGCUAUAGGGACAAGGGGUCAGUGGGCAUUUAAUCCAAACCAAAUUGAGCAAGUAGAACAAGCCUCUAAUUGGAGGCCUGGAUUCCACAUUAAAAACCAUUCUGCACCUGAUACCUUUGAAAGAUACCGCUGUGGCAUCUACAUUUCAUGGAUUUACUCCUAGCAGGCCCCCCCCCCCCCCAAGCACGCUAUCCAUAAAGCACUGAUCCAGCCUGGCACCUGCUUCCUGCAGCCCGAGCCCAGGGACUGAUUGGGCAAAGUCAGCACUCCUUUUGUAGGCUCUGGAGCUCUGAUGUGUGCACAUUUUACUCCCUCCUGGUACCUCAGCUCCAUUCUCCUCCAGUAUCCCUUUUUGUGAGCUGUUGCCCUUUCUGCAUUAACGGACUUCAGCCCUUCUAGUAACUAAGAACCAAGAUUGUCAUCAGAGAAUGCCCCUUCACCCACAGUUCCAGAGGGGCAGAUGUAACUGAACUCCUUUGAAUGUGGGUGGAGCAUCUGGGCGCUGCCUGGGCCAAUCAUUUCAUCCCAUUUCAUGGCCAUAUGAUUGGUCUAGACAAGUGCCUAUGAGAGAUGGUGAUGUUUUUUUCUCCCUCAUUUCUGUUUUGGGUAUCUGGGAGGAUGUAAGCAUCUCUUGUCCAUUAAGGGCCAUAGGAAGCCAACACUAAUUCUAACAGUGUAGUAGCCAGAGCUGAAAGUUGAAAUGAAAACAGCACAAUCUCUGCACCAGCUAGGGACAGCUGUACACACCUUUGAUCCCUGCACUCUAGAGGGGAGAGGCAGAAGACCCUGUGAGGUCAAGACCAGCCUGGGUUAUAUAGUGAGUUCCAGGCCAGUUGGUACUGUGCAAUGAGACACUCUCUCCAACAUGAAUAAAAUAAACUUGUGCAUGUAUGAAAAUAUCACAAUAAAACCCAUCUAUCUGUAAACAUGUACAUACAUAUACACAUACACACACAUACAAACAGACUCACACACAUACUAUAUACAUAUAUAUACUUAUACCUAUAUGUACACCUAUGCAUAUACCUAUAUAGAUAUAUGUGUAUAUGCAUACAUAUGUGUUCUGAUAAUACUAUCUGAGCCCAAUUAUUCCAUGGAGCCAGCCCUAUCACAAAUCUUUACCUAGGUCCUUCUAUAAAUUCUGUUUUUAGCUAAAAAUCAUGGUAGGUUUUCUAUUGAUUGCAAUAAGAAGACAGACACACCCAACUUUCCUUUUUUUUUUUUUUUUUUCUUCUCAUUAACCCACAUUAAAGAAACAUUUCCAGAAAGGCCAUCCAUUCUCAAUUAUGCAGCUGAUGGUGCAUGCCUGGGAUACCAGCUACUCGGGAAACUGAACCUGGAAGACUACAUGAUCAAGGAAUGCCCGGGCUAUGGUGUGAAGCCAAGGCCAGCCUAGGUGAUUUAGUAAUACAUAAAAAUAAUUUUUAUUGAUAAAACAAUAAGUAAAUAAGCCCGCAAAUAAAAAGUAAAUGGCAUUAGAGAUAUAGCUUGGGGGUUUGUUCAGUCACCACCACUUGAGGACACAACAAACAGGACUGGGGAACUGGAAGUCGAACCCCACAGGCAGACAGAACAGUUCAACGAUGAGUCCUUAAGCAAGACUUUAGCUUCAACUAUUCGUCCAGUAAGUAUUAAGCCCCUGAAAUAUGUUGUUGCAAAGAAACAUGGGGAAACAUGCUAGAGAAGACUCUUCCCAUAAUUAUGGAAAAUAAAGGCUUCACUUUAA